ACGCACGCUGGCGGCGUGCUUAACACAUGCCAGUCGCACGGUAAGGCUCCAGCUUGCUGGGGUACACGAGUGGCGAACGGGUGAGUAACACGUGGGUGACCUGCCCUGCACUUCGGGAUAGGCCUGGGAAACUGGGUCUAAUACCGGAUAGGACCGCACCGUGAGGGUGUGGUGGAAAGUUUUUUCGGUGUGGGAUGGGCCCGCGGCCUAUCAGCUUGUUGGUGGGGUAAUGGCCUACCAAGGCGGCGACGGGUAGCCGGCCUGAGAGGGUGGACGGCCACAUUGGGACUGAGACACGGCCCAGACUCCUACGGGAGGCAGCAGUGGGGAAUAUUGCACAAUGGGCGGAAGCCUGAUGCAGCGACGCCGCGUGGGGGAUGACGGCCUUCGGGUUGUAAACUCCUUUCACCAUCGACGAAGGGUUUCUGACGGUAGAUGGAGAAGAAGCACCGGCUAACUACGUG
rnacentral:rRNA from 1 species